CUUCCUAAUGAUGCAUGAAAUCUCUCGGAAUGUAAAAGCUGGUAAAUAAGCUUCGAUCCGAGGAUUUCCGAAUGGGAAAACCCAAUAUACAUAAGUAUAUUAUCUUAUACUGAAUACAUAGGUAUAAGAGGCAAACCUAGGGAACUGAAACAUCUAAGUACCUAGAGGAAAAGAAAUCAAUUGAGAUUCCGGUAGUAGCGGCGAGCGAAACCGGAUCAGCCCUUAAGCUUAUUUUAGUCCAGCAAAAUAUUCUGGAAAGUUUAGCCAUAGUAGGUGAUAGCCCUGUAUGCGAAAGACUAUUUUAAGUGAAAACGAGUAGGUCGGGACACGUGAAAUCUUGACUGAAUAUGGGGGGACCAUCCUCCAAGGCUAAAUACUCUAUGCUGACCGAUAGUGAACCAGUACCGUGAGGGAAAGGCGAAAAGAACCCCGGCGAGGGGAGUGAAAUAGAACCUGAAACCUUGUGCUUACAAGCAGUCGGAGCAGACUUGUUCUGUGACGGCGUACCUUUUGUAUAAUGGGUCAACGACUUAAUUUCAGUAGCAAGCUUAACCAAUUAGGGUAGGCGUAGGGAAACCGAGUCUUAAUAGGGCGUUUAGUUGCUGGAAUUAGACCCGAAACCGGGUGAUCUAUCCAUGGCCAGUGUGAAGGUCGAGUAACAUCGACUGGAGGCGCGAACCCACUUAUGUUGAAAAAUGAGGGGAUGAGCUGUGGAUAGGAGUGAAAGGCUAAUCAAACCCGGAGAUAGCUGGUUCUCUUCGAAAACUAUUUAGGUAGUGCCUCGUGUAUUACCGUAGGGGGUAGAGCACUGUUUCGGCUAGGGGGUCAUCCCGACUUACCAAACCGAUGCAAACUCCGAAUACCUACGAGUAUGAGCACGGGAGACAGACUGCGGGUGCUAACGUCCGUAGUCGAGAGGGAAACAACCCAGACUGUCAGCUAAGGUCCCUAAUUAUGGUUAAGUGGGAAACAAUGUGGGAAGGCACAAACAGCUAGGAGGUUGGCUUAGAAGCAGCCAUCCUUUAAAGAAAGCGUAAUAGCUCACUAGUCGAGUCGGCCUGCGUGGAAGAUAUAACGGGGCUAAACCAUAAACCGAAGCUACAGAUCUUAAAUUUAUUUAAGAUGGUAGAAGAGCGUUCUGUAAGCGGCUGAAGGUAAGCUGAAAGGCGAACUGGACGUAUCAGAAGUGCGAAUGUUGACAUGAGUAACGAUCAAAGAGGUGAAAAACCUCUUCGCCGAAAAACCAAGGGUUCCUGUCCAACGCUAAUCGAGGCAGGGUGAGGCGGCCCCUAAGGCGAGGGCGAAAGCCGUAGUCGAUGGGAAACAGGUUAAUAUUCCUGUGCUUUUUACAACUGCGAUGGGGUGACGGAGAAGGUUAGGCUAGCACGGCGACGGUUGUCCGUGUUUAAGGUUGUAGGCUGGUGUUUUAGGUAAAUCCGGAACACUAAGGCUGAGAACUGAUGACGACCACUCUAUGAGUGGGAAGUAGUCGAUACCAUGCUUCCAGGAAAAACCUCUAAGCUUCAGGUUGUAAGAAACCGUACCCUAAACCGACACAGGUGGUUAGGUCGAGUAGACCAAGGUGUUUGAGAGAACUAUGGUGAAGGAACUAGGCAAAAUAGCACCGUAACUUCGGGAGAAGGUGCGCCACGGUUAGUGAUGAGACUUGCUCUCUAAGCUGAACGUGGUCGAAGAUACCAGGUGGCUGCGACUGUUUACUAAAAACAUAGCACUCUGCAAACUCGUAAGAGGAAGUAUAGGGUGUGACGCCUGCCCGGUGCCGGAAGGUUAAUUGAUGGGGUUAGCUUAUGCGAAGCUCUUGAUCGAAGCCCCGGUAAACGGCGGCCGUAACUAUAACGGUCCUAAGGUAGCGAAAUUCCUUGUCGGGUAAGUUCCGACCUGCACGAAUGGCGUAACGAUGGCCACACUGUCUCCACCAUAGACUCAGUGAAAUUGAAAUCGCUGUUAAGAUGCAGUGUACCCGCAGCUAGACGGAAAGACCCCGUGCACCUUUACUAUAGGUUCACACUGGACUUUGAUCUUAUUUGUGUAGGAUAGGUGGGAGACUUUGAAGCUGAGACGCCAGUCUUAGUGGAGUCGUCCUUGAAAUACCACCCUUGUAAAAUUGGAGUUCUAACCUAGGUCCAUUAUCUGGAUCGGGGACAGUGUGUGGUGGGUAGUUUGA
rnacentral:rRNA from 1 species